GACGUAGGAUGCAAGCGUUGUCCGGAAUUAUUGGGCGUAAAGCGUACGUAGGCGGUUCUCUAAGUUUGGGGUUAAAGACCGAGGCUCAACCUCGGGAGUGCCCUGAAUACUGGGGGGGCUGGAGGGUGGCAGAGGAAAGUGGAAUUCCCAGUGUAGCGGUGAAAUGCGUAGAUAUUGGGAGGAACACCAGUGGCGAAAGCGACUUUCUGGGCCAUUCCUGACGCUGAGGUACGAAAGCGUGGGGGAGCAAACAGG
rnacentral:rRNA from 1 species